rnacentral:rRNA from 1 species
GAUGAACGCUGACAGAAUGCUUAACACAUGCAAGUCGAUUCAAGUUACCUUCGGGUAAUGAGGAUGGCGGACGGGUGAGUAACGCGUAAGGAACUUGCCUCUUGGUCUGGGACAACUGUUGGAAACGACGGCUAAUACCGGAUAUUAUGAGAUUCUCGCAUGGGAAACUUAUGAAAGCUAUAUGCGCCAAGAGAGAGCCUUGCGUUCCAUUAGCUAGUUGGUGGGGUAACGGCCCACCAAGGCGACGAUGGAUAGCCGGCCUGAGAGGGUGAACGGCCACAAGGGGACUGAGACACGGCCCUUACUCCUACGGGAGGCAGCAGUGGGGAAUAUUGGACAAUGGACCAAAAGUCUGAUCCAGCAAUUCUGUGUGCACGAUGAAGGUCUUCGGAUUGUAAAGUGCUUUCAGUUGGGAAGAAGCAAGUGACGGUACCAACAGAAGAAGCGACGGCUAAAUACGUGCCAGCAGCCGCGGUAAUACGUAUGUCGCAAGCGUUAUCCGGAUUUAUUGGGCGUAAAGCGCGUCUAGGCGGAAAAAUAAGUCUGAUGUUAAAAUGCGGGGCUCAACUCCGUAUUGCGUUGGAAACUGUUUUUCUAGAGUACUGGAGAGGUGGGCGGANNUACAAGUGUAGAGGUGAAAUUCGUAGANAUUUGUAGGAAUGCCGAUGGAGAAGUCAGCUCACUGGACAGAUACUGACGCUGAAGCGCGAAAGCGUGGGGAGCNAACAGGAUUAGAUACCCUGGUAGUCCACGCCGUAAACGAUGAUCACUAGG